AAGAUCACAGAUUGCUUCAAUAAGUCGAUGCUCUCAAAGCAUAGCAGUCGAAAAAAUUCAAAAAUUCACAAAUCCCCAGGAUCACAGCUUCUAUGUAGUCAAAAUUCGUGGAUGAAGAAGGAGAAGGAAAAAUGGAAUGUUUAAAGACAUAAAUGAGUUACCCAACUGCUGUUUGGAAUGCCGCACAGAGGAGCCGAGGCGAAGCCACAGAGAGUGAUAGGCGAGAGAGACAAAGUGAAAGAAAGGCGGAGAUAGCGAGGGAAAAAGGGCAUGUGUCGUGCUUCGGCUACUGCCACAGACGGCGG
rnacentral:lncRNA from 1 species